rnacentral:rRNA from 1 species
UACGGGGGGAGCAAGCGUUGUUCGGAUUUACUGGGCGUAAAGGGCGCGUAGGCGGUCAGCACAAGUCAGUUGUGAAAUCUCCGGGCUUAACUCGGAAAGGUCAACUGAUACUGUGCGACUAGAGUGCAGAAGGGGCAACUGGAAUUCUCGGUGUAGCGGUGAAAUGCGUAGAUAUCAGGAGGAACACCUGCGGUGUAGACGGCUUACUGGACGGUAACUGACGCUGAGGCACGAAAGCGUGGGUAGCAAACAGG